CUGGAACAGAACAGCCCACAUCCAUCCUAUCCCACCUCCACGCAGAUCUCAUCCUCUCCCACAACCAACGUUGUUUCCCCUUUAUCUUCUUCUCCUUUGUACGGCUCCACUCAGGAAACAAAUCACCAUAUUCAUCUCCGCAUCAGCCGUUGCACAGCUACGGGAAGAUCCUCGCCUUCAGAAGCGCCAGGGGUGCUGAUGGCGUCGUACCACUGCCGGACAAGCCUUCGUUGGUCGUCGCCGGCAGAGCCGCACGCGGUUGCCGAUCGGUCCACGUGAUCACCGCCCUUAAAUUGAUUCUUGUUGCAGAUGAAUCGAGCCCCGCAAGCUACGCUGGACCAAGCCCCGUGCCCCGAUGUCCACCAAAGCUCCCGAUGAGUCACAUGCGCCACCAUCGGCGUCCUCCUCCAACAUCGCCUGCACCAAAGGAAAGCCUUUUUCUGAAGAACAUCCCUCCUACUCCUUCCUUGGCCAUGGUCUCAUGGUUGUCACCGGAGAGACAGACGCUGCUGCCGGUGCGGUGGAUUCCUGACUUCCAGGUGGGUACCAUCGCCUCCAUUGACUCCCCGCUCUCCUUGUAGUAUAUUUAUGGUGAUUUAACUAUUGAUUUUCAUAGAAUAAUUUUGGUGUUUUUCAGUACUAUGCAUUCUCUUUUGAUGUGCUAAAAUGUUAUGCAGCUACUAGAUUUGACUGAUUCUGAUAAUAUUGUGAAUAUAUUCAUUUCAUUGAAUUUUUGUACUUCGAUGUGCUCUCAUAUGGCACCCGUUGUAAGUAUUUCAAUCUAUUUUUCCUCGAGAUCUUAUGCGUGCAGACAAAAAGGGGAACUGAAGUCACUGAAACCACUAGCAAGAAAAAAGAAGUUGCUGAAAUUUUGCAACUAUUUCCGUUUCUUCAUGCUUCCGGUGGACAGAUUAUAAAACAUCAUGUGCUACCUGGUAAACGAAGUAAAUCAAUCAAUUUUGAAGUGACAUAAUACUUAGUGGUGUCUAACUCUGAACCAUUUUCUAAUUUUCCUUUUCUUCCUGAAGAUUACAUCCCACACGUGCAACGGUUUGAAAGUAUAUGUAAGUUUAUGUUUCUAAGGCAAGUCAUAUACAUGUUUUACCAGUAAUCAUCAUGGCUCGCUUCCUUUCUUCGCUGGAAUUCCACAAUAAUUAGUUCUUCUAUACAAGUGUUCCAGGUAGAUUUAAGUAAAGAGAAUAUACCAUGGAUGCAUAAAAUUGAUUAUUCUGGAGUUUCAUCAUUUGCAUGGCCGAGGGCAGAUAUCUGAAACUGAGAACGUUGUUCCAGAAAUCAUGUACUUAUUUUGUGAGAACUGAAAAUAUGAUAAUUAUGGCCUCUUAAGACAAAGAUUCAAGUUUCUUGACACUCAUGUGCUACUUUUGCUCAUUUUAUUUGCUUAGUCACACUCAAGAGUUCCCUGCAGGUGUCACAAGCUCACUUAAAGUUCACAAAAUUUCGGUUGUCUGAUUCACAAGAUGACAAAUAAAAAAGGUAUGGGGUUAUGAUUCUUCUGCAAAGUAUAUUUCUCCCUAUUGGUAUUUCAUUUGUUUAAUUUGUAUUUUGAUUAUGAUUCUCAUGGAGUACUCUCACCAUCCGAUGAACGCGUGUCUAGCAGUAGUAACAGCCGGUUGAAGCAUCGGCUUGGUAAGGAGAAGGAGCACUAUUAUGGCAACGGGAUUCACACAUCUACAAUGCAGUCAGCUAUGGCAGAAAAGAUACCGGUGUAAUGACUAUUUAGGUAACACCAGAGAUCCCAAAACAAUUAAGGCCUGCAAACAUUCUAUUGAUGCUCUAAUUUUCCCUGGUGCAUUGUGUUUGCACAGAACAUAAAAUUUUAUUAACCAUGUUACCAGACCAUUCAUGAAGACAAUGCUAUCAUCCUGUUGAUGCAACUUCUAUUCUUUCAUUCCUUUUUUGGGUUCACAUUUGCACAUAUCUUACUAUCAUGCAUUGCUGAAGAUGUCCGUUGAAUUUACUUUGUAAACGUGCAGAAGUGUUCUUUGAUGAAUGAUGUUGUAUGUAAAUAGUUACACAUACUAAGAAAUUUGACUUUUUAGAGAAAAAUAUCCACCGUUACUAAGUUACUAUGCAAUAUUUUAAUCAUGUUCUCUCUUUUUCACUCUGGCUCAAGUGUCGACUACAAAUUCUGCUGUUGAAAAGUUGUUGGGAAGUGCACUUCACUACGCAUUUGAUGUGGUAUGUUUAGAAGGAUAAACCUUACGAUUCUGUCAUGACUAGUAACAUUUGUUUACCCCCUGUUGUUGGAUGGAUCAAAGUAAAUGUACAUGGAAGUUUUGAUGGAGAGUUUGCACAAUCAAGACUCGAGUUAUAGCUAGAUGGUGAUGUUUUAGUUGAAGCUUGAAGGUUCGGUAUGCGGGUAAAUGACCAUAUACAUCUAAUUUGAUUGUUCGUCUAUUCUUCAAACUUUGAAUGAUAAAUGGUACGAGGGUCGAUCUUGCCUAAGUGCAUAUGGACCACUACAGGCAUAUCAUUCUGAAGUAUGGUUGUCAACAGAGAAUCAUUC
rnacentral:rRNA from 1 species